rnacentral:rRNA from 1 species
UACGGAGGGGGCUAGCGUUGUUCGGAAUUACUGGGCGUAAAGCGCACGUAGGCGGCUUUGUAAGUCAGAGGUGAAAGCCCGGAGCUCAACUCCGGAAUUGCCUUUGAGACUGCAUCGCUUGAAUCCAGGAGAGGUGAGUGGAAUUCCGAGUGUAGAGGUGAAAUUCGUAGAUAUUCGGAAGAACACCAGUGGCGAAGGCGGCUCACUGGACUGGUAUUGACGCUGAGGUGCGAAAGCGUGGGAGCAACAGG